rnacentral:rRNA from 1 species
AGAAUCAACGCUGGCGGCGUGCCUCAGACAUGCAAGUCGAACGCGAAAGUCUCCUUCGGGGAUGAGUAGAGUGGCGCACGGGUGAGUAACACGUAGGUAAUCUACCUUCGGAUGGGGAAUAACAACCGGAAACGGUUGCUAAUACCGCAUAAUGCAGCGGCACCUAAUGGUGACAGUUGUUAAAGCGGGGGAUCGAAAGACCUCGCGUCUGAAGAGGAGCCUGCGGCGGAUUAGCUAGUUAGUAGGGUAACGGCCUACCAAGGCUACGAUCC